ACUGCCCAGGCUUGUUUAAUUGAUUUUCUAUGUGAUCUUAGGGAAAUCGAUUAUUUCCCAUAAACAUUUUUUUAAUUAGAAGUUAAAUUCUGCCUAGUUUGAUUCACAGGAUUAUUGUGGAUGACUGAAACAGAGAAUAGGUAAGAGCUUCUUUGAAAAAUAUGAGGUACCAUACAGAAGUUAGAUGCUUUGUCCUGGUGAUACCC
rnacentral:lncRNA from 10 species